rnacentral:rRNA from 1 species
AGUGAACGCUGGCGGUAGGCCUAACACAUGCAAGUCGAACGGCAGCACAGUAAGAGCUUGCUCUUACGGGUGGCGAGUGGCGGACGGGUGAGGAAUACAUCGGAAUCUACUUUUUCGUGGGGGAUAACGUAGGGAAACUUACGCUAAUACCGCAUACGACCUACGGGUGAAAGCAGGGGAUCUUCGGACCUUGCGCGAUUGAAUGAGCCGAUGUCGGAUUAGCUAGUUGGCGGGGUAAAGGCCCACCAAGGCGACGAUCCGUAGCUGGUCUGAGAGGAUGAGCAGCAACAUUGGAACUGAGACACGGCCCAGACUCCUACGGGAGGCAGCAGGGGGGAAGAUUGGACAAGGGGCGCAAGCCGGAUCCAGCCAUACCGGGGGGGGGAAGAAGGCUUUCGGGUUGUAAAGCCUUUUUGUUGGGAAAGAAAAGCAGCAGGUUAAUACCCCGUUGUUCUGACGGGACCAAAAGAAUAAGCGCCGGCUAACUUCGUG